UGACCUCGGAUCAGGUAGGAAUACCCGCUGAACUUAAGCAUAUCAAUAAGCGGAGGAAAAGAAACCAACAGGGAUUGCCCUAGUAACGGCGAGUGAAGCGGCAACAGCUCAAAUUUGAAAUCUGGCUACUUUGUAGUCCGAGUUGUAAUUUGUAGAGGAUGCUUUUGGUGAAGUGCUUUCUGAGUUCCCUGGAACGGGACGCCAGAGAGGGUGAGAGCCCCGUACAGUUAGCAACUGAUCCUUUGUAUAGCUCCUUCGACGAGUCGAGUAGUUUGGGAAUGCUGCUCUAAAUGGGAGGUAUAUCUCUUCUAAAGCUAAAUAUAGGCUAGAGACCGAUAGCGCACAAGUAGAGUGAUCGAAAGAUGAAAAGCACUUUGAAAAGAGAGUUAAACAGCACGUGAAAUUGUUGAAAGGGAAGCGCCUAUGACCAGACUUGUCUCUAUCAGUUUUGGUAGUUUUCGGACUGCUUUACUCUGUUAGUACAGGCCAACAUCAGUUUGUUGUCGGGGAGAAAGGCUUAGGGAAUGUGGCU
rnacentral:rRNA from 1 species